UGGGGAAUAUUGGACAAUGGGCGAAAGCCUGAUCCAGCCAUGCCGCAUGUGUGAAGAAGGUCUUCGGAUUGUAAAGCACUUUAAGUUGGGAGGAAGGGCAUUAACCUAAUACGUUAGUGUUUUGACGUUACCGACAGAAUAAGCACCGGCUAACUCUGUGCCAGCAGCCGCGGUAAUACAGAGGGUGCAAGCGUUAAUCGGAAUUAAUGGGCGUAAAGCGCGCGUAGGUGGUUUGUUAAGUUGGAUGUGAAAGCCCCGGGCUCAACCUGGGAACUGCAUCCAAAACUGGCAAGCUAGAGUACGGUAGAGGGUGGUGGAAUUUCCUGUGUAGCGGUGAAAUGCGUAGAUAUAGGAAGGAACACCAGUGGCGAAGGCGACCACCUGGACUGAUACUGACACUGAGGUGCGAAAGCGUGGGGAGCAAACA
rnacentral:rRNA from 1 species